UUUAGUGUUGGAGCAAGACAGCUCACAAUCCCUGCCCGGACCUUUCUUUGUAGUGUGGGGAGACAGUAGGAGGGGUCCAGGUUUCCUUCAGUGGAACCUCACUGAGAUCAGCCGGUGCCCAGGCUUUCCACCCUUCUCCUUCUCCCCUGUGGUUGCUUACUUAGGACCAGCUGCCCACCAGCCCAUCAAAGGCUGAGGGGUCAGUCCUGGCUCUGCCUCAAAGAUCAGCACCUGAGGACAAAAUGCAGGAAGAUGAUGCCCCUGGCACCGCACCCUUCCAGUAUAGAAGGUUGCAAAGAUAUGCAAACGUGUUGUCACUGCCUUGUACCAUCCCCGGGAAGUCUGGGGUGCUUUACCCGAGAAUGACCACCAGAGGACGACAAGAGCCAACCUUCCUGGCCCAGAACCAGACAUGCUGAUGCUAUCCUCUCCACCAAGCUUUGGAAGGUUGUUUGUGUGUGUUGGGGGGUGCUGGGGAAGCGGCAGUCUCAGCACCUCCAGAGGACACCAGAGAUGAUUGGUUCUUAACCUUCCCCUGCUUCACUGGAAGGAAAAGGGAGGCCCAGAGAGGGGCAGGGACUCCCUAGACACACAGCAAAGCGGAGGUGCAACAGGACACAGAGCUCCUGCCUUCAGCUCUGCUUGUUUCUUGUGAAGUCCCCGGUGGAGGCAGGAGGGAGAGGGGAGACCCAGAAUCUGAGGCUAGAGCAAAGACAGCCCCUAAUGGCCUUGAAAGCUCAGCUCUAGGCUUCAGGCCUGUCCUUGUAGGUGUCCCUACCCCCCCUAGUCAUCACAGCAUAUACUUAAG
rnacentral:lncRNA from 1 species